UUGGAGUAGUAAUAUUAAUGAAAUUUAACGGAUUUGGCGGCAAGAUAGCCCCUUAGAGGAACCUGCCCUGUAAACGAUGAACCACGAUGGACUCUACUUUUUUUGGUAAUCAGUUUGUAUAUCGCUGUUGUCAGUUAGAUUCUUGAGAAUAUUUUCGUUCAUGAAAAGUUCAUUGACUUCAAGUAAAGGUGCAGCUUAUAAGAAAGAUAGAGGUGGGUUACAUUUAUAAGAGUAAGACGGAGAGGAUGAUUGAAAUAGUCCUUGAAGGUGGAUUUAACUGUAAAACUUAAUUAGGUUUGGUGAGAGCUC
rnacentral:rRNA from 1 species